ensembl:snRNA U6 U6 spliceosomal RNA
GUUCUCGCUUCACAGCACAUAUACCAAAAUUGGAACAAUACAAAGGAGAUUAACAUAGCCCUUGAGCAAAGACAACCGGCAAAAUUUGUAGAAGCAUUCCAUAUUUUU